ACUCCUACGGGAGGCAGGCAGUGGGGAAUAUUGCACAAUGGGCGCAAGCCUGAUGCAGCCAUGCCGCGUGUAUGAAGAAGGCCUUCGGGUUGUAAAGUACUUUCAGCAGUGAGGAAGGCGGGUACGUUAAUAGCGUGCUUGUUUGACGUUUAGCUGCAGAAGAAGCACCGGCUAACUCCGUGCCAGCAGCCGCGGUAAUACGGAGGGUGCGAGCGUUAAUCGGAAUUACUGGGCGUAAAGCGCAUGCAGGUGGUUUGUUAAGUCAGAUGUGAAAGCCCGGGGCUCAACCUCGGAAUUGCAUUUGAAACUGGCAGACUAGAGUACUGUAGAGGGGGUAGAAUUUCAGGUGUAGCGGUGAAAAUGCGUAGAGAUCUGAAGGAAUACCGGUGGCGAAGGCGGCCCCCUGGACAGAUACUGACACUCAGAUGCGAAAGCGUGGGGAGCAAACAGGAUUAGAUACCCUGGUAG
rnacentral:rRNA from 1 species